CGGAUGGAGCUAGGGAGUAGUAAUUAGUUAUCACCUGACCUGCUCACCCAUAAUUACUCACUACCAAAUGGAAUUUGCCAGAAAAUUUGCAGAAAAUUAUUUUAUUUAGUACACCACCCAAUGGAAUGUGUAGGUGACACAAGCACUCUUACUAGUACCCAAUAAUUUCAGCGAUUGCUUUCACGAUCGAGAGAGAAAGGGAUGUGGUGUAGAAUUCCGUGGAUGGAAGUUGGACCAGAUGAGUGGAUCUGGAUGCUGCUACAGAUUGCCAGAGAUAAGGCUCCAUUUGGCUCGAUUAGAACUGCGUGGUCACCCAAGAAACAGCAAUUUCUAAGUAGCUUCAGCCACACCUACCAUUGACCUGACUUGACUUGCAGGUUUAGUAGCUGCCUCUCUUGAGACGGCUUCGGCAACAAGACUAGUAUUAUUCCAUACUAUCACCAAGCCAUGACACAGUUUUGAAGAAUUUCAAGUCCUGAAGCGCACAAGGAGGAGCUCCAGAUCUACACCGCUUACCGUCUAGGUGGUUUGUUCUGCGGUUUCAUGGGUAAGAAGAACAAGGAGGACACCUCAAGCUGAAGAUCAAAGCCAGCUACUUGUGUUCACCAACAAGCUAGAACAGUCUCGGUCAUGUCGACAGUUCAGGAUCUCUAUGACUAAGCUUCAAUGACAACAAGAACAGAGCUUAAUCAACAACUCUAGCUAUUUGUUUCUUCAUACAUAUGGAUAUACUAUUAGAUGGGUGUUGAGAAAAAUAUGGAAGUAAGCUACCUGGAACUGUCACAUUAGCCUACGUUCAUAUUAGCGAACUGGCAGUUGCCAUCCUAAUUAUAUUGAGGAAGAAUAAACAGCUAGGCCACCACCCAACAGUGAGACGUUAGCACAUAUCAGAAAAUAAUGGCGGAGACUGUGAUUCUUCUAGCCAUUCAAAAGAUUGGAAUUGCCUUAGCAAAUGGAGCGGCAAACCAAGCCAGUGCACUGUUUGUGAAGUACGGCACGCAACUACUAGAAUUACAGCGUGGCAUGGAUCGUGUUGUGAGGGAGCUUCGUUUAAUGCAUGAAUUUCUGUGUCAAAUGGACAUUCGAAACCGCAAUAAAAAAGCAUAUGAGAUCUGGUUGGGGGAGGUACGGAAAGUAGCACAUGUGAUGGAGGACAUGGUGGAUGAGUACUUGUAUCUAGUUGGUCAGGAACAUGAUGUUGGUUUUUUCUUUUUCCUGAAGAAUGGGUUCAAAAAGCCAAGAUCUCUACUUUCUUUGAACCAGAUAGCUUUUAAGGUGAAGGAAAUAGAGAAAGACCUUUCACACCUAUCAGAGAGAAAAACCCGUUGGGUUCUCGUGAACAAUGAGGAUACAAGCAGCUCGGACUACAUUGUCAAGAGGUCCCAAGAGCUAGCAAACAUUUCACGUCGCCUUGAGGAGGAAGAUCUAGUGGGGGUCGACAAGAAUAGAGAAUUACUUCAGCAGUGGUUGGCAGGUGAUCAUUUGGAACGCUCCGUGAUAGCACUGCUUGGAAUGGGAGGGCUUGGUAAGACAGCUUUAGCUGCAAAUGUCUACAGGAAUGUGAGGGAGAAAUUUCAGUGCCAUGCAUGGGUCUCCAUCUCUCAAACUUAUUCUAGAGAAGAUGUCUUAAGGAAUAUAAUCAAGGAACUUUCUAGAGAUAAAGACAGUGUUCUAUCUAACACUGCGGAUAUGGACAUCACAUGCCUUCAAGAGACGCUAAAGAAGUUUUUGGAGCAACACAAGUAUUUGAUCAUUUUGGAUGAUAUUUGGACUCCAGAAGUAUUUAAUGAUUUAUCUAGGAUAUGUAUUCAUAAUGAGAAGGGCAGCCGGCUGCUAAUCACAACAAGGGUAGGCCGUGUUGCUGCACUUGCCUCUCAAGGGUGCAUCUUAACACUCGAAGCUUUACCCGAAGACAAGGCACGGGAUCUUUUUUGUAAGAAAGCCUUUUCAAGAGAUACGAAUUAUGAAUGUCCAGUGCAGUUGAAGCCUUUGUCUGAUGAAAUAUCUAGCAAGUGCAAAGGAUUGCCUCUUGUUAUUGUGCUAGUUGGUGGCCUCUUCCUUGUGCAUGAGAAAACUGUGGAAGAAUGGAGAAGAAUAAAUUCCCAAUUAAAUUGGGAGCUGAUUAAUAAUCCGGAGUUCGAUCACAUCAGGAAUGUUUUUCAUCUCAGCUUUAUCUAUCUUCCAACACAUUUGAAAAGUUGUGUCCUGUACUGCAGCUUAUUUCCAGAAGACUAUAUUUUGAAAAGGAAACAACUUGUGCGGUUAUGGAUCGCAGAGGGGUUCGUCCAGGAGAGAGGUGAAUGCACAUUAGAAGAAGUGGCGGAGGGAUAUCUAAAGGAGUUGACUGACAGAAACAUGCUACAACUUAUUGAGAGGAACCACUUUGGUAGGAUGAAGAAAUUCAGAAUGCACGAUCUCGUACGUGAACUGGCAGUUGAUUUGUGCAAGAAAAACUGUUUUGGUGUUAGUUAUGAGGAUCAGUGUGUGGAGUCUCUUGAGAUGGAUGGACGUCGGUUGGUGCUUCACAAACUGAAGAAGGAUAUUCAGGAGCCAUUUUCCAAUAUGCACCAACUUCGUACUGUCAUUACACUGGGCGGUAGCAAGUCAUCAUUCACUUUACUACCUCUGCUAUGCACAGAGUCAAGAUAUAUGACAGUGCUAGAAUUAAGUGGUCUACCCAUGGAGAAGAUUCCAGAUGCUAUUGGGGAUCUUUUUAAUCUCCGCCAUUUGGGUUUGCGGGGUUCAAAGGUGAAGAUGCUCCCGAAGACUAUUGAGAACCUUUCAAAUUUGUUGACACUCGACCUUUAUGAAUCUGACAUACAUAAGUUUCCCAGUGGGAUUGUGAAACUAAAGAAGCUUAGGCACUUAUUUGCUGUGAUAGUAAUUCAUCGAGAAGGAAAUUUUUCUAAAUAUGGUGUGCGUAUCCCCAAUGGUCUUGGAAAUCUAACAAACCUGCAGACGCUACAAGCAUUGGAAGCACAAGAUGAGUCUCUUAGGCAUUUAGGGGAGCUGAGGCAAAUGAGAAGCUUGAGGUUAUGGAAUGUGAAGGGAAUUUACUGUGGACGCAUCAGUGAGUCUCUAGGUCAGAUGCGGUACUUGUCCAGCCUAGAUCUGAAUGCAAGUGACGAUAGUGAGGUUCUCUUGUUGAAUGUCUGCCUGCCAAACCUGCAAAAGCUACGUUUGAUGGGGCGACUAGCGGAAGGGGUGUUGGACGAGUCUCCUCUCUUCCAAGCUGAUGGGGGGCAGAACUUGUAUUCAUUGUCUGUUAUGGUCACAACUGAGAGAAGACCCCCUGCAAUCCCUUUCUCGGUUGUCAAACUUGACAUAUCUACAGUUUACCAGAGCAUACAACGGAGAGCAGCUGGCAUUUCUCACGGGGUGGUUUCCCAAGCUAAAGAUUCUCUAUCUCGGCGGCCUGCCUAAUCUGAGUCGGCUAGAGAUACAGCAAGGUGCCAUGGAGAGCCUGGAGGCAUUAUGCUUAAGCAAACUCAGCAGCAUGACGAAGGUCCCAGCUGGCAUUGAGUUCCUCCUGCCCCUCCAGUAUCUAAACUUCCGCGAAAUAACCAUUGACUUCUUGGCGGAGCUGCGCUGUUCUGCAAUUGGAGGGGAUCGGUGGUGGUAUACUCUCCGAGAUUGACCUGCCACACUGGUCGUGAAAUGCGUAGAUUCGAUUAAGUCAGUUAUAAGUUCGUGCCGCUGCCGAUAUAUAUACUACAAUACGGUCUGGAUUUCCUCUGCGUUUACAAGACGUACUACUGCCUGUGUUUGCUGCUGCUACUCUGAGUUUACAAGAUGAAACUUCAGCUAGCGGCCUAGCGCUUCCUCUGCUUUUUCAAGACGUGUACGGACUUGUUCACUUCUGAUGCUGCUACUGCCUGCGUUUACCACUGCUCCUGCUACUUCUGGUGCUUCUUGUCAAGCAUGAUAAUUAGAUGCCACUUAUUGUAUGACGUGUUUUCAUUUUCAGACUAUUUUCCCCUUUGCGUUACCUGUUUGAACUACUUCCUUCUAUUCGUGUGCGCUGGUUGUGAACUAUGUACGAUAUCGCCUGCUUCAGCUGUGGCUGUUAAAUAAAAGACUUUGUUUGUGAUUCA